GUGGCUGUAGCUCAGUUGGUUAGAGCGCCUGACUGUGGCUCAGGAGGCCGGGGGUUCAAGUCCCCUCAGCCACCCCA
rnacentral:tRNA from 2 species